UACGAAGGGGGCUAGCGUUGCUCGGAAUCACUGGGCGUAAAGGGUGCGUAGGCGGGUCUUUAAGUCAGGGGGGAAAUCCUGGAGCUCAACUCCAGAACUGCCUUUGAUACUGCGGGUCUUGAGUCCGAUAGAGGUGGGUGGAAUUCCUAGUGUAGAGGUGAAAUUCGUAGAUAUUAGGAAGAACACCGGUGGCGAAGGCGGCCCACUGGAUCGGUACUGACGCUGAGGUGCGAAAGCGUGGGGAGCAAACAGG
rnacentral:rRNA from 1 species